rnacentral:rRNA from 1 species
GACGAACGCUGGCGGCGUGCUUAACACAUGCAAGUCGAACGGAAAGGCCCUGCUUUUGUGGGGUGCUCGAGUGGCGAACGGGUGAGUAACACGUGAGUAACCUGCCCUUGGCUUUGGGAUAACUUCAGGAAACUGGGGCUAAUACCGGAUAGGAGCUCCUGCUGCAUGGUGGGGGUUGGAAAGUUUCGGCGGUUGGGGGUGGACUCGCGGCUUAUCAGCUUGUUGGUGGGGUAGUGGCUUACCAAGGCUUUGACGGGUAGCCGGCCUGAGAGGGUGACCGGCCACAUUGGGACUGAGAUACGGCCCAGACUCCUACGGGAGGCAGCAGUGGGGAAUAUUGCACAAUGGGCGGAAGCCUGAUGCAGCAACGCCGCGUGCGGGAUGACGGCCUUCGGGUUGUAAACCGCUUUCGCCUGUGACGAAGCGUGAGUGACGGUAAUGGGUAAAGAAGCACCGGCUAACUACGUG